rnacentral:lncRNA from 1 species
GGGCCCCAGAGCACCACAAUGGAGCCCUGGUUCUAUGGGGCUGCACAGUGUCACCAUGGUCCUCUUAGUUCCACCAGGCCCUGCAGGGUCACAAUGGCCCCAGAGUGUCCCAAUCAUCACAGAAUGACAGAAUCAAAUAGGCUGGAAAAGACCUUUGGGAUCAUCAAGUCCAACCAAUGCCCUAAUACCACCUUGUCACCCAGACCAUGCCACUGAGUGCCACUGGAGAGGGACAGUGACUCUGCCACCUUCCCCCUGGCCUGCCCAUUGCAAUGCCCACUCACCCUUUCUGUGAAGAACUUCUUCCUCUUGUCCAGCCUAAACCUCCCCUGGUGCAGCUGAAGGCUGUGUCUUCUUGUCCUGCCCUCCAGCAGAUCCACACUCACACCCAGCUUGGUGUCACCUGCAAAUUUGGGGAUGGUGGGCUUGAUCCCCUCACCCAGAUCAUCAGUGAAGAUGUUAAACAGGACUGGGCCCAACACAGAUCCCUGGGGACAGCACCAGGGACUGGACACCAGCUGGGUGCAGCACCAUCCCCACCCCUCUCUGGGCCCAGCCUCCAGCCAGCUCUUCCAUCUCCCAGCCAGGAGGGAACCUGCCCAAGCCGUGGGCUGCAGCUUUUCCAGGGAAUGCUGUCAGAGACAGUGUCCAAGGCUUUGCUGAAGUCCAGAUGGACACAUCCACAGCCUUUCCCACAUCCACAGGUGGGUCACCUGGUUAUAAAAGGAGAUCAGGGUGCUCAGGCAGGACCUGCCCCACUAAAUCCACGCUGGCUGGCUCUGACCCCUCGGCCAUCCUGUGGGUGCCCUGUGGUGGCACUCAAGGUGAUCUGUUCCAUAACCUUGCCAGGCAGUGAGGUCAGGCUGACAGGCCUGGAGUUCCCCAGAUCCUCCUUCCAGCCCUUCUUGGGGAUGGGCUCACACUGGCACCUCCAGUGCUCUGGGACCUCCCUGGUGAGCCAGGACUGAUGGUAAAUGAUGGGGAGCAGCUUGGGGAGCUCAUCCACCAGCUCCCUCAUCCCCCUAGGAUGGAUCCCAUCCCAUCCCAUACACCUGUGAGCAUCCAAGUGGCUCAGCAGGUCACCAGCUGCUUCCUCCUGGAUUACAGGGGGCUGUUCUGCUCCCUGUGCCCAUCUGCCAGCUCAGGAGAAAACUUGUCCUGAGGACAACCUGUCCAUGUAUUGAAAAUUGAGACAAACAAGGUGUUAUGUAGCUUGUCCUUUUCCUUAUCUUGGGUUACUCUAUUCUCUGCUGCAUCCAAUAAAGAGUAGAAAUUCUCCUUCCCCCUCUUUUUGCUGUAAAUUUUUUUUAAUAAAAACUAUUUUUAUUCCGUUUACAAAA